GAAAGCCCAGAAGUAGCAUGCUCCAUGAUUCAUGCUACAUGCUACUAAACCCCACUAAGGCACCAAAUUAGCCUUCUAUUCUUUAGGCGGUCUGCUUCAUGCUGAUUUUCCAUACCAUAAAUUACGUUUUUUCUUCCUCCUUUUAAUGGAAUAAUCAUUCUGCCCUUAUUCUACACUUUAACAGUGUUUCAUUAGUUUGUUUAACUUAAUAUUUAUUUGUUGGAAUCACCAAUUCCUUUUUGUUAAGGGAAUUUCUGAAUUCUUCCACAAAAGUUUUUGAAUAUCUAUAUUGAAUAAAGUCGGGAGAAAAAACUCUCAUUGAUGUUCAAUAUCGAUCUUUAUUGAAAAUUCAGUCAUCUAUCAGACCACAUUUUGAAAACUUAUUUUCGAGAGAGCUAGAAAUUCCCUCAAACACUUUUCUAUUCCUUAAACGGCUGUGAUAGUCAUCUCAAUUCCACCCACAGCAGUAACACACCAAAAACAUGACCAUGUCUACGUCUUUCGACCAACCUUUGAGGUCAUCCGCCUCUGCAAAUAAAACGGUGAUUAGUUCGCCGGUGACAAAAAUCAACAAAAAUAAGAAUUCGUAAAACACAACAGUAGACAGAAGAAUCCCGAAAUUCCCUCUAGUUUUUGGUUAGAGGGACUAAAGAUGGGGAACAACAAACUAAAGAUAUCAAUAGGUGAAUAUUCAAAGAGAGAAAGAGAGGAUGAGCGUCAGAAGGAUGGACGAAGAGAGAAAGUGAGGUGAGAAACUUUUUUGCUUGGAU
rnacentral:lncRNA from 1 species